CCUACGGGAGGCAGCAGUAGGGAAUAUUGCUCAAUGGGGGAAACCCUGAAGCAGCAACGCCGCGUGGAGGAUGAAGGUUUUCGGAUUGUAAACUUCUUUUGUUAGAGAAGAUAAUGACGGUACCUAACGAAUAAGCACCGGCUAACUCCGUGCCAGCAGCCGCGGUAAUACGGAGGGUGCAAGCGUUACUCGGAUUCACUGGGCGUAAAGAGCGCGUAGGCGGGAUAGCAAGUCAGAUGUGAAAUCCUAGGGCUUAACCAUAGAACUGCAUUUGAAACUGUUAUUCUAGAGUAUGGGAGAGGUAGGUGGAAUUCUUGGUGUAGGGGUAAAAUCCGUAGAGAUCAAGAGGAAUACUCAUUGCGAAGGCGACCUGCUAGAACAUAAAUGACGCUGAUGCGCGAAAGCGUGGGGAGCAAACAGGAUUAGAUACCCCGGUAGUC
rnacentral:rRNA from 1 species